GACAGAGGGUGCAAACGUUGCUCGGAAUUACUGGGCGUAAAGCGCGUGUAGGUGGAUUGGUGUGUCAGAUGUGAAAUCCCUGGGCUCAACCCAGGAACUGCACCUGAAACUACCAGUCUUGAGUGGUGGAGAGGGAAGUGGAAUUCCUGGUGUAGAGGUGAAAUUCGUAGAUAUCAGGAGGAACACCAGUGGCGAAGGCGGCUUCCUGGCCUGUUCUUGACGCUGAGGCGCGAAAGCUAGGGGAGCAAACAGG
rnacentral:rRNA from 1 species